GGGCAAUAUUCGCUGAAAAGUCGGGCAAUUUUGGUGUAUUAAAAAACGGAGUGAGACAAAUUCUGUAAAUUUUGUGGUCAAUUUUGUGAUGUUUCCAAAAUUUUUGUUAGGUUCCGGAGAAUUUUGGUAUGUCCGGAAAAAUUUUUUGACCCCUGAAAUUUUUUGGCGACGGGGGGAGGGGGGUCGCCAAAAUAAAAAAAUUUUUAGUCGGGCAAAAUGCGAAAAAGUCGGGCAAAUUUCUUUCCGCCCCCCUAAAUUUUU
rnacentral:lncRNA from 1 species